CCUGGGGGAAGGGAUCAAUUAUUGNAACUGUCGANCACGAGUUUGUUGCUGGCCCUCAAAUGGGGGCAUGUGCACGCUCUGUUUACAAAUCCACUCACACCUGUGCACCCUCAGUAGUUCUAUGGUAUGGAGGACACUGUCCUCUGACCACAGCUCUACGUCUUUACACACACACAAGCAGUGACAAAGUCUAAUGGGAUGUAUGUAGCGUUUAACGCAAUAUAAUACAACUUUCAGCAACGGAUCUCUUGGCUCUCGCAUCGAUGAAGAACGCAGCGAAAUGCGAUAAGUAAUGUGAAUUGCAGAAUUCAGUGAAUCAUCGAAUCUUUGAACGCACCUUGCGCCCUUUGGCUAUUCCGAAGGGCAUGCCUGUUUGAGUAUCAUGAACACCUCAACCCUCAUGGUUUACCAUGGUGGGCUUGGACUUUGGGGGUCUUGCUGGACUGUAGUCAGCUCCCCUUAAAUGAAUCAGCUUGCCAGUGUCUGGUGACAUCACAGGUGUGAUAAUUAUCCUACGCUUUGUGGUUUUACAUCAGGUAUCCUUCAGAGAUGGAGGGUUC
rnacentral:sRNA from 1 species